UUACGGCCACAUCACGCUGAAACAGCGGUUCCCGUACGAAUCACCGAAGUUAAGUAAUGUCAGGGCUGGUCAAUACCUAGAUGAGUGACUGCUUGGGAAUACCAGGUGUUGUA